rnacentral:rRNA from 1 species
UACACUGCAAGUCGAACGGUAACAGGAACACUUGCUGCUUCNCUGACGAGUGGCGGACGGGUGAGUAAUGUCUGGGAAACUGCCUGAUGGAGGGGGAUAACUACUGGAAACGGUAGCUAAUACCGCAUAACGUCGCAAGACCAAAGAGGGGGACCUUCGGGCCUCUUGCCAUCGGAUGUGCCCAGAUGGGAUUAGCUAGUAGGUGGGGUAACGGCUCACCUAGGCGACGAUCCCUAGCUGGUCUGAGAGGAUGACCAGCCACACUGGAACUGAGACACGGUCCAGACUCCUACGGGAGGCAGCAGUGGGGAAUAUUGCACAAUGGGCGCAAGCCUGAUGCAGCCAUGCCGCGUGUAUGAAGAAGGCCUUCGGGUUGUAAAGUACUUUCAGCGGGGAGGAAGGCGAUAAGGUUAAUAACCUUGUCGAUUGACGUUACCCGCAGAAGAAGCACCGGCUAACUCCGUGCCAGCAGCCGCGGUAAUACGGAGGGUGCAAGCGUUAAUCGGAAUUACUGGGCGUAAAGCGCACGCAGGCGGUCUGUCAAGUCGGAUGUGAAAUCCCCGGGCUCAACCUGGGAACUGCAUUCGAAACUGGCAGGCUAGAGUCUUGUAGAGGGGGGUAGAAUUCCAGGUGUAGCGGUGAAAUGCGUAGAGAUCUGGAGGAAUACCGGUGGCGAAGGCGGCCCCCUGGGACAAAGACUGACGCUCAGGUGCGAAAGCGUGGGGGAGCAAACAGGAUUAGAUACCCCUGGUAGUUCCACGCCC